GACGAACGCUGGCGGCGUGCUUAACACAUGCAAGUCGAACGGAAAGGCCCUGCUUUUGUGGGGUGCUCGAGUGGCGAACGGGUGAGUAACACGUGAGUAACCUGCCCUUGACUUUGGGAUAACUUCAGGAAACUGGGGCUAAUACCGGAUAGGAGCUCCUGCUGCAUGGUUGGGGUUGGAAAGUUUCGGCGGUUGGGGAUGGACUCGCGGCUUAUCAGCUUGUUGGUGGGGUAGUGGCUUACCAAGGCUUUGACGGGUAGCCGGCCUGAGAGGGUGACCGGGCACAUUGGGACUGAGAUACGGACCAGAAGACUACGGGAGGAAGCAGUGGGGAAUAUUGCAAAAUGGGCGGAAGCCUGAUGCAGCAAAGCCGCGUGCGGGAUGACGGCCUUCGGGUUGUAAACAGAUUUCGAAUGUGACGAAGCGUGAGUGACGGUAAUGGGUAAAGAAGCACCGGCUAACUACGUG
rnacentral:rRNA from 1 species